rnacentral:rRNA from 1 species
UACGGAGGGAGCUAGCGUUGUUCGGAAUUACUGGGCGUAAAGCGCGCGUAGGCGGCUUUGUAAGUUAGAGGUGAAAGCCCGGAGCUCAACUCCGGAACUGCCCUUAAGACUGCAUCGCUUGAAUCCGGGAGAGGUGAGUGGAACUCCGAGUGUAGAGGUGAAAUUCGUAGAUAUUCGGAAGAACACCAGUGGCGAAGGCGGCUCACUGGUCCGGUACUGACGCUGAGGUGCGAAAGCGUGGGGAGCAAACAGG